GCUGUGUUUUAACAGCAAGCAGAUUCAUACAAAUGUGUUUUAUCAUUCAGAUUCAUACAGCUGUGUUUUAACAGCAAGCAGAUUCAUACAAAUGUGUUUUACAAGCACAUUACGACCGUGUUUUCUCUUCCGGCGUUGCUUCCAACGACUGUGUUUUCUCUUUCGGCGACUUCAAGUCUGCUCCCAUCCAUCUUGUUCAAAUCCCCCCUUUUUUUGAAUCUCUUCCCUGCAAACAUAAAACACUUCAAUGUAGAACACAAUUGAACCCUAAUCGCCAACUAAAACACAGAACACAAUGUCCGUUUGAUCUUACGUAUACAGAAGUUGGAAAAUCUCUUAUCUUCAUCCAUGAUUAUAGGUAUUUUUGGUAUGAUUUUUGAUUGAUUUCGUUGUGGGUUUAGAGAGAGGGAAAUUCACGUGUAAUAAGGAAAUGUGACUUAUUUGACGGUUAUUUUUGAUUGAUUUAAAACACUGUUAUGACGAAAUUGCCCCUUAUCAUUUAAAACAAUCUAUUAAAUAUAGUUAAAUAUUACAAGAUUGCCAUUGAUUUAAUCUCAACCCUUAAACACACCAAUCUGAUAGACCAGAUCGCUUCCUAGACUUUCUAGGAAAAACACACUUUCCGUAGGAACCCUACUCUAUAUACAUAUACUAAUACUAUAUUGUAUGAUGGAUGAUGUAGUAAUCCGAAUUGAUCUCAUCAUGAUGUAGGGGUAAUUUAAAUCCAUUGGGGGUGGCUAAACGUACCCCUGUCACAGCAACACCCUAAAUUGUUUAACGAAAAGUUGUGAUGUGUUAAGAAACACCCGGUUUUAAUAUGUGCCAGUACAGAAAACAAAUUUAAAAAAAAAAAGAAAAAGAAUCAAUGAAUUUAAAAGAUAUAAAAAAUAAUGUAAGAAACAAUUAUAUUUGUAAAUAUGUUUAGCUAGAAAGGGUGCAGGGCUUGAAAAACCAGAAGACAUCCAACCCUUUUGCUUC
rnacentral:lncRNA from 1 species